CAGUAGCCGCGGUAAUACAGAGGGUGCGAGCGUUAAUAGGAUUUACUGGGCGUAAAGCGUGCGUAGGCGGCUUCUUAAGUCGGAUGUGAAAUCCCUGAGCUUAACUUAGGAAUUGCAUUCGAUACUGGGAAGCUAGAGUAUGGAAGAGGAUGGUAGAAUUCCAGGUGUAGCGGUGAAAUGCGUAGAGAUCUGGAGGAAUACCGAUGGCGAAGGCAGCCAUCUGGCCUAAUACUGACGCUGAGGUACGAAAGCAUGGGGAGCAAACAGGAUUAGAUACCCCAGUAGUCCCUGUCUCUUAUAC
rnacentral:rRNA from 1 species